GUGCGCGAAGUCUCACUCACUCUCGUGCAGAGUUCAAGCCCUCCUCGGACGUGUGUGUAUGUAUGAGAUCUUGAUUACGACAUCGUGUGUGUGUGUGUGUGUGUGUGUUUAAGUGGUUUUGGUCAGGGAAAAACAGAAAGCGUGGGAAUUUAUUUUGUUGUACAUCAUCAACUGAACAGCUACCGUGCAACAUGACCAGGCAAACCUUACCGUCUGUUGUAGGCAUCACAUCUGUGGUAGCUGCCGUGACAUUGUUGUUGUUGUUGUUGUUGUUGAUACACACUCCCUGCACCAAUAAGUUGUGGCUCAUGGAAAAGUUCCUGAGCGUUAAUCAUUCAUUCAUUCAGUUUCAUGUUAUUAAAGUCUUUCUUUCGGGUCAUUUAAGCAUUUGAAAACGUCUCGCAGUGGUCUGCACGGUGUGUGUUCCGCGCCCUUCUGACGUUUUGAUGACGGUGUGACGGCGCAGGUGCAUCGCUGACGUUUCGAUCUCGACAGCCGCUGUCUGAUCUAAUUACAAACGGAAUCAGUUAGGAUGAUGUCUGUGUCACUAUUACACGUAACUCUUAAAUACCCGAGUGAAUCGUGAGUCACGCAAAACCGUGGAGGUUUUUAGACGUCUACAGCGUGAUCUCUCUGCAGCCAGACGCCAAGGCAAGGUUCCGGAGUCUGGAGGAAGAGCGGAGAGGAACAGAUUCCCAGCUGCUUGAAGUCCAGUGUGAAGUUCUCACAGUCGGUGAUGAUUUGAGGAGCCACGUCAUCUCCCGGUGUCGGUCCAGUGUGUUUCCUCGAGUCGAUGCAGCGUCUACCAGGAGAUUUUAGAUACUUCAUGCUUCAUCUGCUGACGAGCUUUAUGGAGACGCUGAUUUCCUUUUCCAGCAGGACUCUGCACCUCCCACAGUGCCAAAACUUCUAGUAACUGCUUUACUGACCGUGGUAGUUAAGCAGUGUUGUUUUUUCUCGAGGACAUCCGAGAACGUCCCUGACCGCUCGCUCGUCCGGACGCUCUGUAAAAACCUUUCUGUGUGAAUCGAGUAAUAAAAUCGAGCUUCUACCACCGUCAUGUUAAAUGACGUAGUAUGGAAUGAGUCUCCAGUGUCAGCGGUACAGCUGUAAUGUUACGUUUUCCGCCAUUUUCGGGACGGAGGAGUUUCUCACGAACAUAACUCCCGCGUAAACUCGGUUUGUUAAAAGUCUCAUUUUUGUGAUGUUCAAAUGAACGUAUAUUUAUAGAGGAUAUACCGAGUGAUCGUUUACAUGUGUCAAUGCAUGUUUCAAAGACAUGUCUUGUACCAAAUACUAAAAAAAAAAAUGUUGCCUUAAAUGUUUUCUUUCAUCGGGUACAAUUUCCUCUGCAACAAAUAAGCCUUUUAUUUACUUUAAUGUAUUAUAAUUUUGGCAGGAAAAAAAAAAAAAACAAAAGCUGGAGCUGUUGUGGGAUUUUACCUGCAGAGAAAAAGCAACGAGGCUCUAUAUUUAUUUAUUUAUUUAUUUAUUUAUUUCACAUUGGUAUUUAACUAAUGUUUAGUAUUUUUUUUUUUUUACUUUACUUUUACUAUUAUUUAAAUUUUUAUUAUUUAAUUAUUGUACUUAUUCUAUUUUUUCACACUUAUACAUAUUUAUAUGGCUAUUAUUUUCUUUUUCUGGCUCUUGCUAAGCUGCUAUAUUGAGAACAGGAACUAAUUCGUGUCAUCGAUACAUAACAGAAACUGUAACUAUAAACGGAUAAAACAAA